GUUGGAAUCCAUGUAGAAUUCACAUCAGGAGUCGUCCAGUUCAACGGUGGUUCAGUUGUAUUCCAAACAGGAGUUGACCCAGUAGGAUUCCACGUGGAGUUCACAUCAGGAGUCGUCCAGUUCAACGGGGGAUCCGUGACAUUCCACACAGGAGUUGAUCCAGUAGGAUUCCACGUAGAGUUCACAUCAGGAGUCGUCCAGUUGAGAGGGGGAUCCGUGACAUUCCACACAGGAGUUGACCCAGUAGGAUUCCACGUGGAGUUCACAUCAGGAGUCGUCCAGUUCAACGGGGGAUCCGUGACAUUCCAUACAGGAGUUGAUCCAGUUGGAUUCCACGUGGAAUUCACAUCAGGAGUCGUCCAGUUCAACGGGGGAUCCGUGACAUUCCAUACAGGAGUUGAUCCAGUUGGAUUCCACGUGGAAUUCACAUCAGGAGUCGUCCAGUUCAACGGCGGAUCAGUUGCAUUCCACAAAGGAGUUGAUCCAGUUGGAUUCCACGUAGAAUUCACAUCAGGAGUCGUCCAGUUCAACGGGGGAUCCGUGACAUUCCAUACAGGAGUUGAUCCAGUUGGAUUCCACGUAGAAUUCACAUCAGGAGUCGUCCAGUUCAACGGAGGAUCCGUGACAUUCCAAACAGGAGUUGAUCCAGUAGGAUUCCACGUAGAGUUCACAUCAGGAGUCGUCCAGUUCAACGGUGGGUCAGUUGUAUUCCACAGAGGAGUUGACGAUGUAGGAUUCCACGUGGAGUU